UUGUCCCUGGCCAGAAGAAGUGAAGCGGUCAUCUCCGUCCUUCCCGUACACCCAGGAUUAGCUGAGACAGCGCCGUAUCACCAAGCACGCCCCUGAUCUGGACGGCACAGCCGAGUCCGUGGCGGCGUGGUCCUUCUCCCCAGGUCACUGGAUCCAGCCGAGAUUCAUCCUGGCUGCAUCGUCCAGCCGCUGCCCUCGAUGCCUCCGCUGCGUCUCUCUCCGUGGCCCAGCCGCUGCCCUCGAGUCACCGUCCGACAGCCUCGACACCUACCGGCAGUCGGACGGGCGCGCAGCCGCACCUGUUAACAUCCAAUUUCACAAGAAGGUGCUCUUGCAGGGGACUUUCUGGACUGGCGCUAUGCCGCUCUAACCUUCUCUCCUCCUCUGUUCCAACUCCCCUCCUCCUCGUUCCCCCAAUCUUUCCCUCGCCCUCUGAUCUCUCUCUAAUCCCUUGUCACAUCUUCUUUCUUGUGGAUCCUUUCUUAUCAGCUGUCCUGCUUUGGCCCUCCCGGUCACUUGUGGUUCUGGAGGGGCGGGUUUCUAGCAUAAAAAGAGAGCUUGCUCGUCCGGAUGCGGACGAGCCUGGGGAAAAGAGUGUUAAUCAGGUCACUCAGCUCUCUUCUCGAGCGAUUGCGCCAGAUCCUGGGAUUGAGCUCACCAUGCAAGCGCUGUCCAUCAGCGAACCGGCGAUUGUUUAUAUUCAGGCUGAACAGAGGCUUGAGGAGGGUCAGGAUGCAGAUUUCAAUUUUCUCAUGAAGCUUGCUUCUACAAGAGGUCCAAUCAGAGUUCUUUCGGUUUAGGCUGUGCAGCACUCUAUGGCUAGAGCAUGGAGGACUAUUAUGGUAUAUCGCAAUUAUCAAGGUAUAUUUUUGUGGCUCACUUCCGUUCUUUGGAUGCUGUUAUGUUUGUAAUUACUCCUCAGCCUUGGAGCAUGGGUUCGGAUAACUU